GCCGCGAGGUAGAGCAAAUCUCAAAAAAACAAUCUCAGUUCAGACUGCAGGCUGCAACUCGCCUGCACGAAGUCGGAAUUGCUAGUAAUCGUAGGUCAGCAUACUACGGUGAAUACGUUCCCGGGCCUUGUACACACCGCCCGUCAAACCAUGAGAGUUGGCAACACCCGAAGUCGGUAGUCUAACCGCAAGGAGGACGCCGCCGAAGGUGGGGUUGAUGAUUAGGGUUAAGUCGUAACAAGGUAUC
rnacentral:rRNA from 1 species